UACGUAGGGUGCGAGCGUUGUCCGGAAUUAUUGGGCGUAAAGGGCUCGUAGGCGGUCUGUCACGUCGGGAGUGAAAACUCGGGGCUUAACUCCGAGCCUGCUUCUGAUACGGGCAGACUAGAGGUAUGCAGGGGAGAAUGGAAUCCUGGUGUAGCGGCGAAAUGCGCAGAUAUCAGGAGGAACACCGGUGGCGAAGGCGGUUCUCUGGGCAUGACCUGACGCUGAGGAGCGAAAGUGUGGGGAGCGAACAGG
rnacentral:rRNA from 1 species